rnacentral:rRNA from 1 species
AACGAACGCUGGCGGCAGGCCUAACACAUGCAAGUCGAACGCUGUAGCAAUACAGAGUGGCAGACGGGUGAGUAACGCGUGGGAACCUUCCCAGUGGUGCGGAAUAGCUCAGGGAAACUUGAGGUAAUACCGCAUAAGCCCCUAGGGGGAAAGAUUUAUCGCCAUUGGAUGGGCCCGCGUCGGAUUAGCUAGUUGGUGAGGUAAUGGCUCACCAAGGCAACGAUCCGUAGCUGGUUUGAGAGAACGACCAGCCACACUGGGACUGAGACACGGCCCAGACUCCUACGGGAGGCAGCAGUGGGGAAUCUUGGACAAUGGGCGCAAGCCUGAUCCAGCCAUGCCGCGUGAGUGACGAAGGCCUUAGGGUUGUAAAGCUCUUUUGCCAGGGACGAUAAUGACGGUACCUGGAGAAUAAGCCCCGGCAAACUUCGUGCCAGCCGCCGCCGUAACAC